GCCCCAGUGACCUAAUGGAUAAGGCACUCGCCUCCUAAGCCAGGGAUUGUGGGUUCGAGUCCCGUCUGGGGUG
rnacentral:tRNA from 1 species